GCCCAAACCAAGAAGCUUGCUUCUUGGGGAUGUAGGACACUCUAUACGGAGUUACAAAAGAACGUUAUAAAUGAAGCGGUCUGGAACGGCCCGCCAAAGACGGUAACAGCCCGGUAGUUGAAAUGGCUUUCCCUCCAGAGAGGAUCCUGAGUACGGCGGAAAACGUGAAAUUCCGCCGGAAUCCGGGAGGAACAUAUCCCAAGGCUAAAUACUCCCUAGUGACCGAUAGCGAACCAGUACCGCGCGGGAAAGGCGCACAGCACCCCGGAAGGGGAGUGAAACAGAUCCUGAAACCGAGUGCCUAAAAGUAGUU
rnacentral:rRNA from 1 species